AUAAGGAACAAGUGAGAAGGGGGCCCCUAAUUUUGUGAAAAACCAGGGAGAGAAUACAGCACAUGAUUUAUUCCCAUCACUCUGUAGCUGAGGCUCACUCACACCAACUGCGCAAUCGCAGGCCAGCCAUUUACCCAGGCUCAGAGCCCGGUCCAGACCCAGGCUGGGCUGGGGUUUCAUCUCGCGAGCUCCGAUGGCACCAGAGGGUCAGCCUAGCUCAGGGCCAGCUGGUCCUUCUUCUUCUGCAAGACCUGCUCCUCCCACCGCGCCUGGUCCAAGGGCGUUGAGCACCACAGGCCCGUACUUCUCUGGAGGAGCCUCUGGAGCGCAGCAGGUACAAGGCAUUACCAUUUCAAAAAGGACUUGUUUAAUACAUUGGAAUUUUAAACUGCAAUUCCUGAAGAUGCUGUUAAUCCUGUUCCAAACUUUGAUCUACUGUUGUGAUAUCUUUUGGAUCCUGAUUUCUCUGUUUUACUUUUGAACUUUUCAAAAAGGAGGCCAACCCCCGUGAGCCACAGACGGACAUGACAACACGUUGGUGCUUAUACUUCUGAUGCACGGGCACUAUUCAGUGAUAUUGUGGCUCUUUGACAGAAGUGAGUCG
rnacentral:lncRNA from 1 species